rnacentral:lncRNA from 1 species
UCGCCGACUGCCACUGGCUUUCUGGGGAGAUGGAAGGGCGAGGGAGAGGGAGGAGGCGAAGGAGAGGACGAAGCCGAGGAGACGGAGAAGGAGGUUGAGGUGGCGCAGGAGGGACGGCCGCGAAAUCCAGUGGGCGGCGGAGGUCGAGGAGUUGACGUAAGGGGAGGGAGUGGUGGUGGUGGUGGCGGUGAACGGAGAGAGGUAGUGGUAUAAGUGGUGGUUUUGGCCUGCGGGAGACGCUACGGCCA